AGUGAACGCUGGCGGUAGGCCUAACACAUGCAAGUCGAACGGCAGCACAGUAAGAGCUUGCUCUUACGGGUGGCGAGUGGCGGACGGGUGAGGAAUACAUCGGAAUCUACUUUUUCGUGGGGGAUAACGUAGGGAAACUUACGCUAAUACCGCAUACGACCUACGGGUGAAAGCAGGGGAUCUUCGGACCUUGCGCGAUUGAAUGAGCCGAUGUCGGAUUAGCUAGUUGGCGGGGUAAAGGCCCACCAAGGCGACGAUCCGUAGCUGGUCUGAGAGGAUGGUCAGCCACACUGGAACUGAGGCAGGGUCGAGACACCUGCGGGAGGAAGCAGUGGGGAAUAUUGGGCAAUGGGGGCAAGCGUGAUCCAGCCAUACGGCGUGGGUGAAGAAGGCGUUCGGGUUGUAAAGCCCUUUUGGUGGGAGAGAAGAGCAGCAGGUUAAUACCCCGCUGUUCUGACGGUACCCAAAGAAUAAGCACCGGCUAACUUCGUG
rnacentral:rRNA from 1 species